UCUAGGACUCAGAAAUAUAGAUGUUAGUAAGAGCAAACAGACAUAACAGAUAACACAUACAAAGUGCCUACCACAUGCUAACCACUGCUGCAGGCACUUUCUAUAGAAGAACUAAUUUAAUCAUCACCAUAACCCUAUGGGGUAGAUGAUAUUUUUACAACCUCCAUUUUACAGAUGAAGAAACUGAAGCAUAGACCUGCUUAUGUGAGAAGAAACGCAGGGAGACAGUUCAGUCACUGCAAUCUUCAUGCCCAUCAGUUUCUUGUGAGAAGAAAACAAGAAAACAAGGACUGAAAUCCACACAGGAAGGUGGCAGUGAACUCCACAGACGGACCUGGACGCCUCAACACUCCUGGCCUUACCUCCCUUGCUGAACGUCUCAAGUUUCUCUGCGUUCAGGACUGGCAACGCCUGCUUCCUCCUCUGAGCUGUCAAGUAGGAAGUCCGGGCUGCUCUGCUAGAAAGAGAAGUCAUGUGCAGGAGCACUGAGGCAUCCCAGGUGUGACACUCUUCCACCUAGAGCAUUCCGUCUCUCAUCCUCUGCCAUGUGACGCUGGGCUUCUUUAACAAAUUAAUCCCAAGUGCAAGACAUUUAUUUCUUCUGUACCUAAUGACCUGAGCAAUCCUUCUCUGCUGAACCUGGUAGUGUCAUCUUUAGAAGUGAAGACACAAUUAACACAUGGUCAUUUCUUCAUUAUAUCGUUGUUACU
rnacentral:lncRNA from 10 species